rnacentral:rRNA from 1 species
ACGCUCGACACCUACGGGAGGCAGCAGUGGGGAAUAUUGCACAAUGGGGGAAACCCUGAUGCAGCGACGCCGCGUGAGCGAAGAAGUAUCUCGGUAUGUAAAGCUCUAUCAGCAGGGAAGAAGAUGACGGUACCUGACUAAGAAGCACCGGCUAAAUACGUGCCAACAGCCGCGGUAAUCUGAGCGGGCUGGCAAGGC